rnacentral:miRNA from 1 species
UUGUCGGCACCCAUGAAAGGGCCA